rnacentral:rRNA from 1 species
UACGGAGGAUGCGAGCGUUAUCCGGAUUUAUUGGGUUUAAAGGGUGCGUAGGCGGGCUUUUAAGUCAGCGGUAAAAAUUCGGGGCUCAACCCUGUCCGGCCGUUGAAACUGGGGGUCUUGAGUGGGCGAGAAGAAGGCGGAAUGCGUGGUGUAGCGGUGAAAUGCAUAGAUAUCACGCAGAACCCCGAUUGCGAAGGCAGCCUUCCGGCGCCCUACUGACGCUGAGGCACGAAAGUGCGGGGAUCGAACGGG